AUAUCAUUGUUUAAUAUAUUGAUUCCAUAUUUGGAUAAUUUUAUUAGUGCAUUUUUUGGAUCGGCAAUGGGCUUGAACGUUUAUAACCCAGUUUCCCAGUAAAACUGUAAUGUGGAUAGUAGAUUGGUUGCUGCAGUUUCUAGGGGCACUGCAGUCCUUUCCAAACUUUAUUGGUAGGAAUGGGGCGAGGGCCGUGUGACUGCUGUAUACAUUAAAAACACACGCACUGGGAAGUAAUUGAAGCAGCAAGGAUAUGCAGGGGAAAGUUCCUUUCCCAGUUUCUAAGAUGUCGUAAUUACGCAUUGUGACAUUGUUAACAGUCAGGAAAUAUUAUUAACUCUACCGAGAAGGAGACGAAAGAUGAAAUGACUUGAUCGUAACACGACAAGAAAAAGAUCUGUAUCGAUCCUGAUUAUUACAAGAGUUCUCCAUUUCUCCUCCAACGCGCCAGCAAUAAACAAACGUCUCGAAACUCUGCAUCAAAUGAGGUAAACGAUACGUUCUCCAACCACUGGCCAAAGAGCGAGCGUGGAAGGCAGUAGAGCGAGUGGUCAUUCUGAGGCAAAAAAGUGAUUUCAAAGCCUGAACAGAUCAGGAUGACCGCACUCAGAGCUCGGGCUCGUUCUUAGCCUAGAUCGUGAACUUAAGACUGAAAGCCAGACAGAAUGAGUCUUUCAUUGUGCUUUGCUAAAUAAAGAUUCGAAAAGUCUUCGUACACUCACCACUUGUCGAUCUAUAUGAGAUUACUUUCAAUUACUUAACAUGUAAUUUUAUUAACAAAAAAAUCUAUGUAACACUUUAUGAAGUGUUGUGUUAAAAAAAACCUCACCCUUCAAGUGUACUCGUCAUUAUGCGUGUGCGCAGUAAAUUCCUUUCAGUCUACCAACUAGAAUAAGUAGCUGCCAUCUACAGACUAUUUAAAAAAAAACCUCCAGUUCCUUAAGAUGUUUUUACACCGCUGGAUGAUCGAAGAGAGAUUAUUGUCUCGUGCCUUGAAAACUAAAUCUAAAAACAAUGGCGCCCUUUUACUUGCACUGCAUUAAUCGGUUUUACAGUUAGACAUCUGAGACCACUGUACAUUUUGUCCCUCAGAAUAUUGUUGCAAAUAGACUUUUUAAAGUGUACUUUAUGAAAAUGUUCAAGCUAAGUUGAUAAGUAAACGCUGAAAUCUGACAACC